UCCUCAUCACAUUCUCUAUUCAUGCCUUGUCUUCUGCCUAGUUCUAGUUACAUUCUGUUCUUCCGUUCUGUAUCCAUUUCUUCUAUGUGUGUGUAUCUUUCUGCUGGCAUGUGCACAUUCACAAACCACCCAUCACUCACAUGAAUGUGUUUUCCCGUGGCUAACCUAUGCAGUGUGCUUUUUCUGUGAAGUCCUAUCUUGAGAAAAGAAGCCAGUGUGAGAACAGCUAGGUCCUUCCAAGAACAGUACAAGGUCCUCCCAAGAUCUGAAGAGAGGGAGUUAACCUGCCAGGGAGAUUUCAGGCAGUGAUCACUUCUCAAGGGAGCAGAAAGCCAGAAAACUGCAAUGAGCAAAGGAUCUGAAGUAUCGGUGGCUGGUGAGCAGUGUUAGUCUGUGUGGGCUGGAGUGAGUCUUUAAGGGGGCUUAGCUUGGAUUUUGGGAAGGUGUGAGCCAGGAAGUGGGUACUCUGAAAUGGUAUGGGGAGCCAGUCUUUCAUGCUUGGAUCAAGGAUGGCUUUUAUUUUGCAUCCUGAAACAAAGGCUUCAUGUCAUACAACAGGGAAAAUAGGUGAAAACAUUGCAGCCUCGAGUACACUGUUCAUGUGAUUUCUACUGCUGUAUCCUUAUGCAUUUCUUGGCUUCCUGUCAUUCGUAUCUCAGUCACGUAUUUCACUGACACUGAGUCUUACCUGUUGAGAAAGACUAGAGGCAUCCUUAAGCCGUGAACUGGUUUAGAACUGAUUUCAUGUAUAGUUGCCCUUCCUAAUACAGCUGCAGUGACAUUUUCCUCUUCAUAUAGGUGUCUGGUGGAUACAUACCUGUGAAGUGCAGCAUGGAAAAUAUUCAGAUGUGUGUUGCUUAAGAAAAUCAUCAAUAUUUAAUUCCUACACAGUAAUUCCUACACAGACACAUUCAGUUAGCAGCGUCCAGAGACACAAAAGUUUUUUUUUCUUUUGUUUGCCAUGGGAUUUGGUUUAUAAUUAUCCUUAUAAUAUAACUCAUGCUGAAGGAAUUGAAUUGGUCUUUUCUCUGUUAUUUUUAAAUAUUACAUACAACCAAUCAGCAAUUAAGCAUUUUUUCUUUCUUUUACAGAUUACAACAAAAUCCUCUUUUUUCUGUCAGAACCAGAGCCAGGGCAACCAGUUUUCAAUGGGGAAUUUCAUUUUGCUGCAGCUUAUAAGAAAAAGAAAUUUCAGCUGGCAAGUUUCCUCACUAAAGAAGGCAGAGAAAAACCUCAGAUGGAAUGAAACAUUUACCAAAAUAAAGCUGAAAUAUUUACCAAAAGAACAAGAACACUGUUGCUGUUACUGAAAUAAUGCAACAGGCACAUUCCCUUUCCCUAUUCUUUCAUCUCGUCAGAAAACUCAGAAGGGAAUGAGAAGUAUUGUGAGAGAAUUCUCACUGCCUCUGAAAAGCUUCUUUCUACUUACUCCAAAAUCCAGAAGAUGCUUUCUUUCUAAAGUCAACAUUGCAAAUGAGUUCAGAGCAUUCCAAAGAUACUGUUAUUUCUGGGAUAAAUCUCACAAAGUGAAAGGACCUACGCUGGGAUUUAGUCUGUUGUGCUAAAACAAAUUAACUGUGGCGAUAAGACAACAAAUAAUUCAUGUGCUCACCAGUUAUGUAUAAGGUUUUUGGGAAUAGUGCGGGCCCUGGUUUGUUUUGGCAGAAGUAAUGGGUUCUGAGGAGGAGAUUUGUCAUGGUUUAACCCAGCAGGCAGCAAAGCACCACACAGCUGUGCGCUCACUCCCCCUGCAAUGCACACAUCCCACCCUGCCACAACAGGGUGGGGGAGAGAACUGGAAAAAAAAGGGGUAAACACUCAUGGGUUGAGAUAAAGAUAGUUUAAUUGGGCAGAAGAGGAAGGGAAAAAUAAUGACAGUAAUAAUAGUGAUGAUAAAAGAAUAUUCUAAGCAAGUGUAUGCAAUUGCUGACUGAUGCCCAGACAGAUCCUGAGCAGUGCCCCAGCCUUGCACCACCCAGCCAAUCCCCCACUUUAUUGCUGAGCUUGACACAACAGGACAUGGGACAUCCCUCUGGCCAGCCUGUGCCAGCUGUCCUGGUUCUGUCCCUCCCAGCUCCUGGUGCACCCCCAGACUCAUUGCUGGCAGGGCAACACCAGGAGAUGAACAGUCCUUGGCUCUGUGCCAAUACUGCUCUGCAACAACUAAAAGAUAUAUAAACACAAACACAAAUGUAAUUCCCUUAUUCUAUGGACCAUCCCUCUAAAAAGUCCACCGCGUUUGUUUAGUCCAUGACUUCAGGCUCUAUCUGUCAGAGCAGUCGUUCAGGGAGGAGAGGUGGUGUGUGGUGCAUGCUGAAGCCAGUUCUCGUCCCCUCACAGCCGCACUUUGCUCGCUUCCACCAAAUUUCCUGCAGCAUUAAUCUGGGUGGGUCUUAAUGCGCUACCAUCAAUAUGGCACGUAACAACCACAGUAGUGAUAACGUAGUAUCAUAUAGCAAUUAACAUCGUACAAUUAAAAUCCUUGGCUAUUCACACCCAACAUCAAGUCCCCUUGGGAAGUCCCCAUAGGACUUCUCAAUUCUUCUGCACUCAACAACAAGUGCACCCAAGUCCGUGAGCAAAAGCAAUUCCAUAGAUGGGUUUGCUUUUCCUUGAUGCAGGAAUAGCCCAGACUGUCUUUCCCAGCAUGUUUUUAUGUGUAGUUUAGGAACUUUAUCCCCUUCUACAUUAUGUAAAAGUUUUGACUGGGCCAGCUCAGUUGUCCAAUCCCCUAGAUCCAAAGACAACAACAUCCAGCUUUAGAAAAGAAGGCUACAUCUGCAAAUGCCACAGGAGAGUUCAGGAAAUGAUUUCUUGGUGCCUACAGCUCUUCGUGUAGUUCUCUGACUUGUCCCCAGAAGCUGGCUGAAGGAAACCUGAAAGUCAUUUGGGUCAAUACCCAAUUACCACAAGGUGACUUCUCUUGUCCCCCAUUUCAGUCUCUACUUGGGACAGCACAAACAGUUGUACAGCGCUUCUCUGUCUGGAGAGAACACUCCAAGGCUUUGCUUCUUUUGCUUGGUAUUAUACACAGGAUAUGCCUUGGGACUGGAGGCUGGCAGACAGCCGAUGCAGAAGCCUUGAUGUUUUGGGCCUGCCAUGCAGGAAUCAGUGAAUAAUUACCCGUUGUUGCUUCUUGCCUGUAUGAAAACUAACUCCGAGGGUGCAAAAUGGACUCACCAGCUCAACCUUCUUCCCCGCUGGAAAUGGGAAAUGAAAGUAAGGCUACCCAGGUGUUUUUUCUCCAAGCCACUUCUUGCUCCCAGCUCUGCUUUAAGCAGAUGCCUCUGCAGCCAGGAAGCCUGAAGUGAAGCAGUGGGAGACUUGGCAUGACUUUGAACUGGGAAGCAGACAUCCCACUUGGCCUGCAGUGCCCCUCUCAGGCAAUGCAGGAUCCCCGAGAUGGUUUAUUAUGCUGCGCAGCUGAGAUUUACAAGGAUGAAUAUCUGAUGGAGUCUUUUUGUGUGAACUAAUGUGAUUAAUUCAUUUGGUUUGCAACUAAGCCUGGCACGGGCCCUCUGGGACAGACAUCUUAGAGAGCUCUUUCCUGUGAAAUUCUGCAAUGGUGAGUCACUGGGGAACCCAGCAAGAACUGAUGCAGACAGCAGUUUCUUAUAUGCAGCUGUGUUUCCAGAAUAUUUUUGUUUAACUUUACUUUGAUGUAGCAGGUUGCUUCUUUCUGUCGAUUAAUUUUUAGAAGAACUAUACGGAGGGCUUAACCUGGAGAGCGCUUUUGGAAGCCUCAUAUCUGAGCAGUUCCACCUUGAUCUAAGAACUGGAAGAAAAUAGAUGGGUUUGAAGGAAGAAGUACCCAUGUAGAUUACUGUCAUAACCUCGGUGGAUGGUGGAUAGACUGACACCUGUACACAUCCCUGGAAACAAAAGUCUCAGCAAAGAAGGAACUGGAAGGCUUCCUAAACUGAAGUGGAGAUGAUUAAGACCCUAAAGCCUGUCAGAGCACAGCCUGCAGAACCCCAAGAUGUCUGACACUGUGCCUGCACCAUGCUCUCAGCCCACUGCUGGUGGCAGCCACGUCUGUACUCAAAACACUUUGCUAGUACUUCUGUUGUGGGACUGUGCUCACAAAUAAAUCACAGCUG
rnacentral:lncRNA from 1 species